rnacentral:ncRNA from 1 species
ACUAGGUGGGAGAGCAAUCGAUUCUGAAAAACCACUACCCUGUUUGGAAUUAUGCUUACCUAUCACAAGGAAUAGGACUAGAUAGAAAGUUUGGCUGGGGCGGCACACCUUCGAAAGAGCAGCGAAGGUGUCCUAAGUUGAGCUCAGUGAGGACAGAAAUCUCACGUUGAGGAUAAGGCCAAAAGCUCAAUUUACUGUGCCUUUUUGUACUAGGAUCAGUUACGAAAGUAAGGCCUAACGAUCCCUAAAUAGCCUCAGGUGCGUGAGGAUUGGGGUGACAGACAAGUUACCUCCGGGACAACUGGCUUGUGGCUGCUAAGAGAUCAAAUCAACGCAGCUUUUUGAUUCUUCGAUGUCGGCUCUUCCUAUCCUAGUGAUGUACAAGUUGCUAAGGGUCGGAUUGUUCACCCGUAUUAGGGAUCGUGAGCUGGGUUUAGACCGUCGUGAGCCAGGUUUGUUUUAUCCUACUGGAUAUAGCAUCAUGAUAGUAGAUUGAUUUAGUACGAGAGGAACUGUUGAUUAUGGCCUCUGGUUAGCGAUUAUCGGAAACGGUAUGUCGCGCAGCUACGCCGUCUGGGAUAAUGGCUGAAAGCCUCUUAAGCCAGAAGCCCAUCUAGAAAGUGAUGCACGUGAUGUUGGACCGAUACGAAUAAUCAUACUCAAAAGGUCCGCUUCAUAGGUAACCCAAUGUAGAAGACAUUGUGUGAACGAAGGUACUGUAAGCAGUGGAGUGGCAUUACGUCCACGACCUGUUGAGGUUCAGCUUCGCUUCUAGGUUUCC